UGGGGAAUAUUGCACAAUGGGCGCAAGCCUGAUGCAGCCAUGCCGCGUGUGUGAAGAAGGCCUUCGGGUUGUAAAGCACUUUCAGCGGGGAGGAAGGCGAUAAGGUUAAUAACCUUGUCGAUUGACGUUACCCGCAGAAGAAGCACCGGCUAACUCCGUGCCAGCAGCCGCGGUAAUACGGAGGGUGCAAGCGUUAAUCGGAAUUACUGGGCGUAAAGCGCACGCAGGCGGUUGAUUGAGUCAGAUGUGAAAUCCCCGGGCUUAACCCGGGAAUUGCAUCUGAUACUGGUCAGCUAGAGUCUUGUAGAGGGGGGUAGAAUUCCAGGUGUAGCGGUGAAAUGCGUAGAGAUCUGGAGGAAUACCGGUGGCGAAGGCGGCCCCCUGGACAAAGACUGACGCUCAGGUGCGAAAGCGUGGGGAGCAAACAGG
rnacentral:rRNA from 1 species